rnacentral:tRNA from 1 species
GGGGAUGUGGCGAAAUGGUAUACGCUCACGUUUGAGGGGCGUGUGGGGCAACCCGUGAGAGUUCGAGUCUCUCCAUCCCCACCA